GGUGAGUAACGCGUGAGAAUCUGGCUCCAGGUCGGGGAUAACAGUUGGAAACGACUGCUAAUACCGGAUGUGCCGAGAGGUGAAAGAUUUAUUGCCUGGAGAUGAGCUCGCGUCUGAUUAGCUAGUUGGUGGUGUAAGGGACCACCAAGGCGUCGAUCAGUAGCUGGUCUGAGAGGAUGAUCAGCCACACUGGGACUGAGACACGGCCCAGACUCCUACGGGAGGCAGCAGUGGGGAAUUUUCCGCAAUGGGCGAAAGCCUGACGGAGCAAUACCGCGUGAGGGAGGAAGGCUCUUGGGUCGUAAACCUCUUUUCUCAAGGAAGAAGAAAGUGACGGUACUUGAGGAAUAAGCAUCGGCUAACUCCGUGCCAGCAGCCGCGGUAAUACGGAGGAUGCAAGCGUUAUCCGGAAUGAUUGGGCGUAAAGGGUCUGCAGGUGGAACUGAAAGUCUGCUGUUAAAGAGUUUGGCUUAACCAAAUAAAAGCGGUGGAAACUACAGAACUAGAGUGCGGUAGGGGCAAAAGGAAUUCCUGGUGUAGCGGUGAAAUGCGUAGAUAUCAGGAAGAACACCGGUGGCGAAAGCGUUUUGCUAGACCGUAACUGACACUGAGGGACGAAAGCUAGGGGAGCGAAUGGGAUUAGAUACCCCAGUAGUCCUAGCCGUAAACGAUGGAUACUAGGCGUGGCUUGUAUCGACCCGAGCCGUGCCGGAGCUAACGCGUUAAGUAUCCCGCCUGGGGAGUACGCACGCAAGUGUGAAACUCAAAGGAAUUGACGGGGGCCCGCACAAGCGGUGGAGUAUGUGGUUUAAUUCGAUGCAACGCGAAGAACCUUACCAAGACUUGACAUCCUGCGAAUCCUGGUGAAAGCUGGGAGUGCCUUAGGGAGCGCAGAGACAGGUGGUGCAUGGCUGUCGUCAGCUCGUGUCGUGAGAUGUUGGGUUAAGUCCCGCAACGAGCGCAACCCUCGUUUUUAGUUGCCAGCAUUAAGUUGGGCACUCUAGAGAGACUGCCGGUGACAAACCGGAGGAAGGUGAGGAUGACGUCAAGUCAGCAUGCCCCUUACGUCUUGGGCUACACACGUACUACAAUGCUACGGACAGAGGGCAGCGAGCCAGGGAUGGCAAGCGAAUCCAGAAACCGUAGCUCAGUUCAGAUCGAAGGCUGCAACUCGCCUUCGUGAAGGAGGAAUCGCUAGUAAUUGCAGGUCAGCAUACUGCAGUGAAUUCGUUCCCGGGCCUUGUACACACCGCCCGUCACACCAUGGAAGUUGGUCACGCCCGAAGUCAUUACCCCAACCGAAAGGAGGGGGAUGCCUAAGGUAGGACUGGUGACUGGGGUGAAGUCGUAACAAGGUA
rnacentral:rRNA from 1 species